UACGUAGGGGGCAAGCGUUGUCCGGAUUUAUUGGGCGUAAAGAGCGUGUAGGCGGCCAUACAGGUCAGCUGUGAAAACUCGAGGCUCAACCUCGAGACGUCGGUUGAAACCGUAUGGCUAGAGUCCGGAAGAGGAGAGUGGAAUUCCCGGUGUAGCGGUGAAAUGCGCAGAUAUCGGGAAGAACACCAGUGGCGAAGGCGGCUCUCUGGGACGGUACUGACGCUGAGACGCGAAAGCGUGGGGAGCGAACAGG
rnacentral:rRNA from 1 species